UUUAUGGGGCGUAAAGCGAGCGCAGGCGUUUUUUAAGUCUGAUGUGAAAGCCUUCGCUUUAACCGGAGAAGUGCAUCGGAAACUGGGAGACUUGAGUGCAGAAGAGGACAGUGGAACUCCAUGUGUAGCGGUGGAAUGCGUAGAUAUAUGGAAGAACACCAGUGGCGAAGGCGGCUGUCUAGUCUGUAACUGACGCUGAGGCUCGAAAGCAUGGGUAGCGAACAGGAUUAGAUACCCUGGUAGUCCAUGCCGUAAACGAUGAGUGCUAAGUGUUGGAGGGUUUCCGCCCUUCAGUGCUGCAGCUAACGCAUUAAGCACUCCGCCUGGGGAGUACGACCGCAAGGUUGAAACUCAAAGGAAUUGACGGGGGCCCGCACAAGCGGUGGAGCAUGUGGUUUAAUUCGAAGCUACGCGAAGAACCUUACCAGGUCUUGACAUCUUCUGCCAAUCUUAGAGAUAAGACGUUCCCUUCGGGGACAGAAUGACAGGUGGUGCAUGGUUGUCGUCAGCUCGUGUCGUGAGAUGUUGGGUUAAGUCCCGCAACGAGCGCAACCCUUAUUAUCAGUUGCCAGCAUUCAGUUGGGCACUCUGGUGAGACUGCCGGUGACAAACCGGAGGAAGGUGGGGAUGACGUCAAAUCAUCAUGCCCCUUAUGACCUGGGCUACACACGUGCUACAAUGGACGGUACAACGAGUCGCGAAGUCGUGAGGCUAAGCUAAUCUCUUAAAGCCGUUCUCAGUUCGGAUUGUAGGCUGCAACUCGCCUACAUGAAGUUGGAAUCGCUAGUAAUCGCGGAUCAGCAUGCCGCGGUGAAUACGUUCCCGGGCCUUGUACACACCGCCCGUCACACCAUGAGAGUUUGUAACACCCAAAGCCGGUGAGAUAACCUUCGGGAGUCAGCCGUCUAAGGUGGGACAGAGAUUAGGGGAGUGAACAGUGCAGCAUCC
rnacentral:rRNA from 2 species